AUAUCAGUCAUGCAUAGCAUAUCAAUAAGCGGAGGAAAAGAAACUAACAAGGAUUCCCUUAGUAACGGCGAGUGAAGCGGGAAGAGCUCAAAUUUGAAAUCUUCAAGGUUUUACCUUGACGAAUUGUAGUUUAAAGAAGUGUUUUCUGUUGAAGUUUUGGUAAAAGUUCUUUGGAAUAGGACAUCAUAGAGGGUGAGAAUCCCGUAUUUGACCAUUACUUUCAGCUUUGUGAUACACUUUCAAAGAGUCGGAUUGUUUGGGAAUGCAGUCCAAAAUGGGUGGUAAAUUUCAUCUAAAGCUAAAUAUUGGCGAGAGACCGAUAGCGAACAAGUACCGUGAGGGAAAGAUGAAAAGAACUUUGGAAAGAGAGUUAAACAGUACGUGAAAUUGUCAAAAGGGAAGCGUUUGACACCAGUGUUGCUUUCUCGAAAAUCAAUUAAAAAGAGUUGGAUUUUGUGUUGUAUUGACUUUAUCGGCUUUCUUCACUCUUUUCCAGCUUUUUUUAAUGCACUUUUCGUUUAACAAGUCAACAUCAGUUUCUUUUGUUGUAAAAAGGUCAUUGGAAGGUGGCUUUCUCUUCGGAGAAAGUGUUUAUAGCCUUUGACUCAUGCAAUCGGAGAGACUGAGGUCUGCAGCGUAGAUCCUUCGGGGUUAGAUACAUUUGUGCUAAGUUAUAGCUUUUCAUAGACAACUUGUUGACUAUGUUUAGUCUUGUAGCUUACUCGCUUAUGCUAUUUUACCUACGCUUAGGAUGUUGAACUCUAUCACACACAG
rnacentral:rRNA from 1 species